rnacentral:rRNA from 1 species
ACGGGUGAGUAAUGUCUGGGAAACUGCCUGAUGGAGGGGGGAUAACUACUGGAAACGGUAGCUAAUACCGCAUAACGUCGCAAGACCAAAGAGGGGGACCUUCGGGCCUCUUGCCAUCAGAUGUGCCCAGAUGGGAUUAGCUAGUAGGUGGGGUAACGGGCUCACCUAGGUGACGAUCCCUAGCUGGUCUGAGAGGAUGACCAGCCACACUGGGACUGAGACACGGUCCAGACUCCUACGGGAGGCAGCAUG